UACGUAGGCAGCGAGCGUUUGUUCGGAGUUACUGGGCGUAAAGGGUGUGUAGGCGGUUUUCUAAGUUUGGUGUGAAAUCUCCCGGCUCAACCGGGAGGGUGCGCCGAAAACUGGGAGACUAGAGUGCGGGAUGGGAGAGUAGAAUUCCUGGUGUAGCGGUGAAAUGCGUAGAUAUCAGGAGGAAUACCGGUGGUGUAGACGGCUCUCUGGACCGCCACUGACGCUGAGACACGAAAGCGUGGGUAGCAAACAGG
rnacentral:rRNA from 1 species